rnacentral:rRNA from 1 species
CCAACAGGGAUUGCCCUAGUAACGGCGAGUGAAGCGGCAACAGCUCAAAUUUGAAAUCUGGCUCUUUCAGAGUCCGAGUUGUAAUUUGCAGAGGGCGCUUUGGCGUUGGCAGCGGUCCAAGUUCUUUGGAACAGGACGUCACAGAGGGUGAGAAUCCCGUACGUGGUCGCUAGCCUUCGCCGUGUAAAGCCCCUUCGACGAGUCGAGUUGUUUGGGAAUGCAGCUCUAAAUGGGAGGUAAAUUUCUUCUAAAGCUAAAUAUUGGCCAGAGACCGAUAGCGCACAAGUAGAGUGAUCGAAAGAUGAAAAGCACUUUGGAAAGAGAGUCAAAUAGCACGUGAAAUUGUUGAAAGGGAAGCGCUU